rnacentral:misc_RNA from 1 species
GUUAGCCGAAAAUCGGCUAAAACGGUCACAAUGGUUGUGUGUCCCUUGCUCCGUGGUGUGUAUGUGUUUGAAAGUACCUUCCAUGCACACACAGAGCACAGUGUAGCCUGUGAAAUUCGAGGUGACGUUUGACCCAGUGACCCCUGGCAAGUGUUCAGGUGAACCUUGAACGUUAUGAAGUUCAAUGCCGUACCAGUUUGUUCCGGAUUGGUUUUUUUUGCUGGGUUCGGUUGUAUGAGCCCGUUUACAACAGACUUCCUUCACUCAGAAACGCUGUGGCAAAUUGGGGCUCUUUUCAAACGCGAGGUUUGCACUUGAAGCUUUAAGUAUAGUGUCUCUCUCGAUCAUUGUAAACACGCAUCAUGGUGCUGAAGGAAUUGAUCGCUGCUGCAAGCAACUUCAACGUGCAGACUGUGGUGUUGUUUGUCGUUGUUCUCUUGCUCACCAUCGCCUGGAUCCGUCGUCCGAGGAACCUGCCGCCGGGUCCACCAGCAUGGCCGAUCAUCGGUAACGCCCGUGGUCUGCAGAGGGGAGCCUUGCAUCUGGUGAUGACUGACUGGGCCAGACAGUACGGGAGGAUCAUGAGCAUCUGGAUGGGCCCAAAGCUAGCAGUGGUUCUGAGUGACAUCCAAGCCGUCAAAGAAGCCCUAGUCAAGCAGGCAGACUGCUUCUCUGACCGGAUUGAACCACCCAAGUUGUUUGGAGAGGGGAUGUCGUUAAAAGGCAGUGUCAUCAUGUCCAACGGCGAAGUCUGGAAGGAGCGGCGGCGCUUUGGGCUGAGCGCCAUGCGAACCCUGGGCAUGGGCAAAAGAAGCGUGGAGCACAAAAUCACAGAAGAGGCGCGCUAUCUCCUCGAGUGUUUUGACGGCGAAGGAGAGAAGCCCUUUGACCCUGAGCACGCCAUCCUGAACGCGGUCUCCAACAUCAUCUGCCUGAUCAGCUUCGGCUACCGCUUCGAGUACUCCGACCCCAAAUUCGCCCGUCUCAUCAAACUCGUCAAGAUUAGACUUUCGACCGUGUCUUUGAACGUGCUGGGUAUCUUCCGAGCGUAUUUUAACAGGUCCAAGCACACCGGCUUACUUCAGGGGCAAAAAGAGAUCCGUAAUUUCAUCCAAGAAAUUGUACAAGAACAUGAAGAGUCAUUCGACCCAAAUGACCUCCGUGACAUCAUCGACAUGUACCUGGUGGAAAUCGAGCAACAGGAAAAGAACGGGAAAACAGGUGAAGAUACCGCAUUUUGCAGGACGACACUGUGGAGGAGUAUUCAAGACUUUUUCGUAGCUGGGACCGAUACCACCACCAACACUCUGUUGUGGCUGAUGCUGUACAUGGCUAUGUACCCGGAGGUUCAAAACAAGGUGCAGAAAGAAAUCGAUGACGUCAUCGGAAGCGACAGACAGCCAAUUGGCGAGGACAGUAACGCCAUGCCGUACACCAACGCCGUACUGAUGGAGAUGCAGCGACACCGACCCGUCACUCCUAGUGCUGUGCCACAUCAGACACGUUACCAGACUGAGUUGUGUGGUUAUACCAUUCCUGCUAAAACAGCUGUCUUCGUGAAUUUGUGGGCCAUUCUACGCGAUCCGAAAUGCUGGACAGACCCGGAGAAGUUCGACCCCGCCAGGUUCCUGUCCAAAGACGGCAAGACGGUCGAGAGACCGGAGGCUUUCAUCCCAUUCAGUUUUGGUCGGCGUAUUUGCAUGGGAGAGACCCUGGCUAAGAUGGAGAUGUUCCUCUUCUUUGUCAACCUCCUCCAGCGAUUCACCUUCUCCUUGCCUGCCGGGAAACCACGCCCCUCUCUGGAGGGAAUCACCGGGGUGACCCUUGCUCCACAGCCCUUUGAGAUUGUUGCUAAGAAGCGAUGAAUUUUUCGUUAGCAGUUGAGCACAAAAUGUGUUUGUAAACUUUAAUUUGCCAUUUAUGAUACAAUAUAUAAUUGCGUAAUGAAAAUAGCCCCUCAGCAAUAACUUCCUCCCCGCCUUCUAAUUUGGUCUAACCCGCCCCCUCAUAUCUACCACAUCCCCCAGCUGAGUGUGUAUCAGUCCAGUGUGCGUCAGGCAGUUAUAUAAUUGCGUUUGAAUAGCCCCACGUGUAUGGAAUUUGAAAUAUCCACGUGCGAUUUAGUCGGCUGGGUGCUGUGAUAGGGUUACGUUGUCUGUGGAGGGCUGUACAGUUUUGAGUGUGAACAGAGAAAGCUUGCCGUAAUAACCAAAUUCAGCUUGUACCAUUCGAUCUGAGAAGCAAUCUGCUUGUUUGAUGAGAGCCUCUUUGACCACUUCGAAGCUACUCAGCACAAUU